rnacentral:lncRNA from 1 species
UUGGUUAGUUUAUAGAUUCUUUGUUUAGGAGUUUAGUCCUAGUUAUUUGUUUAUCAACUCUGCUCCUUGUUCUGUUUGUUUUUGUGCUACUUUUACCUUUUGUGAUAUCUAAAACAGAAGUUACCAUUCUUUUCUUCUAACUGUUUGUCACUGCUACUUACAGGUUUGAGUUUCCAUUAAAAUGAUCACGCCAUUACUGAAUGUGCAUAGUUUACUUUAUCUUCUCAACUGCAUUUCUCUUCAACCUUGUAACUGGUCCAAGUAGAGCAUGAUUCCUGGUACUGACUGGUAAAGGGUCAGAGCUGAUAUGAGCAUCAUAAUGUCAACCUUGUUUUUGUGCUACUUUUACCUUUUCUGAUAUCUAAAACAGAAGUUACCAUUCUUUUCUUAUAACUGUUUGUCACUGCUACUUACAGGUUUGAGUUUCCAUUAAAAUGAUGCAUAGUUUACUUUAUCUUCUCAACUGCAUUUCUCUUCAACCUUGUAACUGGUCCAAGUAGAGCAUGAUUCGUGGUACUGACUGGUAAAGGGUCAGAGCUGAUAUGAGCAUCAUAAUGUCAACCUUAUCAUGUUUCUGUAAGUGUGAAAUUACUUCUUGUCUUUAUAAUGUGUGUCAUAGACUCAUCACCCUUUUUUAUGAGUAUCUUAGCUGCAUGAGCUAGCAGAAUAGCAGUUGCUUGAUUAUGAGUAACUAAGUAUAUGUCAACCAAUAAUGCUUAAAAAACAUUUUCGACAUCAGAUAUGGUAUUAUUCAAAUUCAUGCUCACAUUUUUUUUCUCAACACUUGAUGAUCUGGACCAACAAUAGAUAUGAUUGUAAAUAAGAUUCAUUCUCUAUUUAUUUAGUCAAUGAAUAUCCUAUUUGCACUGUACAUGAUUUUGUGGAAAACACUGUUUACAAAGUAAAAAUAAUUAUAUAUUGUGAUACUUUAGCCAACAGUAUUAAUAAUAUUCCUGUUUACCUUUAUCAGCA